AAAACAUUACAUUAAGAAAUCAAGUUCAAUAACAAGGAAGUGCUUAGGUAAGUAUGUAGUUAUAAACCAAACGAGCAUUGGAAAACAUUUGUCGACAACAGAACGUCAAAAACCAAACUGAGUAGAGGCCAAGGUCUGAUAUAAAGCGAUGUUCGUGUAAUUAUCGCACACUCGUGGAAAAACAACAUGAAGUCUGUGGCCAUUGUCUUACUAAUCAUCUGUGCGAACGUCGCCUAUUCCGUUGCCGAAGACGGUUGCCCGGCCGGCGAACACAACCCAGGCCCGAACUGCGGACUCGAGCCUUCCUGCGCACCCCGCAGCUCACACUUCAUACCGAAGCACACCUGCGACUGUUGGUGCAUCCCCGGCACCUACAGAAACACCGACACCAACACCUGCGUUGAACGAUGCUGAUUUGAAUUUGGAAAUGUUUUAAUAAUAAAAUGAUGAGUAAAGUAUA